rnacentral:ncRNA from 1 species
CAAAGGUUUGGUCCUGACUUUACUAUCGACUUUAGCUAAACUUACACAUGCAAGUAUCCGCACCCCUGUGAGAAUGCCCUACAGUUCCCUAUCUGGGAACAAGGAGCUGGUAUCAGGCACAUCUUACUUAGCCCACGACACCUUGCUUAGCCACACCCUCAAGGGAACUCAGCAGUGAUAAACAUUAAGCCAUAAGUGAAAACUUGACUUAGUUAAAGCUAAGAGGGUCGGUAAACCUCGUGCCAGCCACCGCGGUUAUACGAGAGACCCAAGUUGAUAGACACCGGCGUAAAGAGUGGUUAAGACAAACUAGAUACUAAAGCCGAACGCCCUCAGAGCUGUUAUACGCAUCCGAAGGUAAGAAGUUCAACCACGAAAGUGGCUUUAUACUAUCUGAUCCCACGAAAGCUAAGGCACAAACUGGGAUUAGAUACCCCACUAUGCCUAGCCCUAAACAUUGGUAAUUUACUACACCUAUUACCCGCCCGGGUACUACGAGCAUUAGCUUAAAACCCAAAGGACUUGGCGGUGCUUUAGAUCCACCUAGAGGAGCCUGUUCUAGAACCGAUAACCCCCGUUCAACCUCACCUUUUCUUGUUUAACCCGCCUAUAUACCACCGUCGUCAGCUUACCCUGUGAAGGCCUCAUAGUAAGCAAAAUUGGCACAGCCCAAAACGUCAGGUCGAGGUGUAGCGUAUGAAAAGGGAAGAAAUGGGCUACAUUCUCUAAUACAGAGAAUACGAACGAUACGCUGAAACACGUAUACUGAAGGAGGAUUUAGCAGUAAGCAGAAAAUAGAGCGUUCCGCUGAAAUCGGCCCUGAAGCGCGCACACACCGCCCGUCACUCUCCCCAAGCGUAUGUAAACACAUAACUAAAACCCCACAGCUGCAAAGGGGAGGCAAGUCGUAACAUGGUAAGUGUACCGGAAGGUGCACUUGGAAAAAU